GCGGGGUUAGCUCAGUGGGAGAGCAAUUGCCUUACAAGCAAUAGGUCGUGGGUUCAAAUCCCUCACCCCGUAC
rnacentral:tRNA from 2 species